UGGGGGGUAGCUUAAUGGUAGAGCACUCACCUGGCAUGUGCAAGGCCCUGGGUUCCAAUCCCAGUACCACAA
rnacentral:tRNA from 1 species